CGAGCUGAGAGACGUGGUGGUGGAGCACAGGAAGGAGGAGAAGAAGAAGAGGGAGGAGGAGGAGGAGAGGAAGAAGUGGAGGAGAAGGAGGAGAAGAAGAAGACCAUCCAGAUCUCCGUGUUUGAGAGGCAGAACCUACAAACAAGAGAGACGCUGUUUGUCUUUCCUGGGAUCAGUAAACAUCCUCAACACAAACAAGUUCCUCUGGAGUGAGAGAGAGGAGAAACUCACACCGUCAGGGCAGCUGCACUCUCACUACACCUCGGUCUUUGAUGUCCUUCAGAGGGAGCUGAUAAUGGACGCCUCCUACAUCUUAACUCUUUUAAUUGGAGCUUGGAUGUAACAGGUUGCUGCCGUUGUCUUGGCCUGAUGUGAACUCAAGGCGAAAUUAGAGAGAUUAUCCUUAGUUUUGAGUCGUGAGGUGAAAACUUGUCCAAAUUAAGGUAGAGGCCUCUCGAGCUGACUCACGCUAGUGUAUAAAUCUUGUGUUGCUUAAACAGAGCUCUGUGAUGUUGGGGUUAUCAUUUAAUUAUGUGGAAAUAACCUGAUUACGAAAUAAAGCUGAAAUUAUUCUGCCAUCAA